CCCUUAGAUGUUCUGGGCCGCACGCGCGCUACACUGUUCGACGCAGCGAGUCUUAACCUUGACCGAAAGGUUUGGGUAAUCUUCAGCAAAGUCGAACGUGAUGGGGAUCGAUCAUUGCAAUUAUUGAUCGUGAACGAGGAAUUCCUAGUAAGUGCAAGUCAUCAGCUUGCGCUGAUUACGUCCCUGCCCUUUGUACACACCGCCCGUCGCUACUACCGAUUGAAUGGUUUAGUGAUAUCUCUGGAUUGACGCUGGCUAGGGGGCGACCCUUGGCCAGACUGCUCGAGAAACUGCUCAAACUUGAUCAUUUAGAGGAAGUAAAAGUCGUAACA
rnacentral:rRNA from 1 species